UAGGCCCUAUUUGGUAUUGUUUUCAUCAUUUAAAAAAUUCAAUAAAUAGAUUUAAAGUGUUUCAUAAAAAUAGGUGCUUACCAUUUUUUUCCCAAACGUUUGGACAAUCAAUUUAUUAUUAUUAUUAUUAUAGCAAAGUUAUUUUUGCGUUGUUAGUUGUUUGUAAAAUUGUUCAAAUCAAUUUGUUGGAAAUUGUUAAAUUCACAGUUCUUUUUUAUGAAUUCACAGCCCUGUCUCUGACACAACCCUCUCUCUCAUAUAACAGGCUCCACCAUGUGAGAGAGGGGUGCUAUGGAUCCGAUCUGCCAAAAAAGAGUGAAUUUAUCAAUCUCCCAAUUUAUUGUAUCUUGGCGUUUAGAUAGUUGUUUGAAAAUACUUAGCUAUUUUUUUCCUUUUCGUUCCACCUUUCCUCUCUCAUUUAGUGUUUUACUGGCAGGCAUUCUGAUAUCAGCUUGGUUGAGUUGGCAAAUGAAACAGUUAAAGAAGAUGACAGAGUUGUUUUAUUGGAGUGGGGAGGUCUCCAGUCGGCUUCUCCUAAAGCUCAAAGUUCACCUGUCACAUCUCACGUUGUCAGAUUUCUUCUAAUGGAUGAGACUUUCUUGCUGGAAAAUCGAUUGACACUCAGAGCCAUAGUUAUAAUCGGGAUCUUUUCUUAUUUCUCUACUUCCUUCUCAUCAUAGUUUCAGCAAUUACUUCUUUCAAGAUUCAUCAUGAUAAGUCACCAAUCUCAGGAAAAUCCAUACUGUAUCUGAACAGGCAUCAAACUGAAGAGUGGAAAGGUUGGAUGCAGUCAAGUGAUCUAUCAAAUGUAAAGAGGUUGUUAACAAGGGCACAAGAGAAUCCAAGCCAACAUUUCUCGUUCGAAAUGACGUGGGGAAAGUGUUGCUAAAUGCAUUGUUAUAUCCAGGCAUCAAGACGAACAUGUAGAAAAAUUCCAUUGUUGCGAUAUUUCAUACGGCGGGUGAUGUGGGAAACAACAACAUUGACAGUGACAGUGUUGUGGCACGUACCUUCUUAAUAAGAACAAAAACUGAGGAGGAUCGAAAGAAGCUUGCAGAAGCAAUUCAGGAAUAUGCCCCUCCUGCUUGAAAAUACACAUGAAAGUGAUUUUCCAUCACAUUGUACAACCCUUGAGCUUCAACAAAAUUGCAAAUGAAAAAGUUUUGUGUAGGGUGGGCUUGUUGAAGCCGAUGAAUCCUCCUUUUCUUUCGGAGGGAGGGCGAGCUCCAAAAAUCUACCAAGCGGAGCCAAUAUUCAAAAGUUGACAAUAUUUUCAUAUGUACAAGAGGCUAAUGCACCUGUAUCAUGUAGAGAAGAAAGGAUGUUCUCCUCCAAAAUGCACAAAGCUCAUCUGAGAUGCAUGAAUCAGAUUCGCCUGCUGCAGCUGCUGGUCUGCUGCUGCCGCCCUUGUGGUUGAUGCUUGUUGGGCUGCUGUAAUGUUG